AGGGUUUGAUCCUGGCUCAGGAUGAACGCUGGCGGCGUGCUUAACACAUGCAAGUCGAACGGACAAAGAGGGGCUUGCUCCUCUUUGUUAGUGGCGGACGGGUGAGUAACACGUGAGCAACCUGCCCAUAUCUGGGGAAUAACACAGUGAAAAUUGUGCUAAUACCGCAUAAGACCACGAGGAGGCAUCUCUUCGCGGUAAAAGAUUUAUCGGAUAUGGAUGGGCUCGCGUCCCAUUAGAUAGUUGGCGGGGUAACGGCCCACCAAGUCGACGAUGGGUAGCCGACCUCAGAGGGUGAUCGGCCACAUUGGAACUGAGAAACGGUCCAG
rnacentral:rRNA from 1 species